rnacentral:rRNA from 1 species
ACGCUCGACACCUACGGGAGGCCGCAGUGGGGAAUAUUGCACAAUGGGGGAAACCCUGAUGCAGCGAUGCCGCGUGAAGGAAGAAGUAUCUCGGUAUGUAAACUUCUAUCAGCAGGGAAGAAAAUGACGGUACCUGACUAAGAAGCCCCGGCUAACUACGUGCCGGCAGCCGCGGUAAUCUGAGCGGGCUGGCAAGGC